rnacentral:rRNA from 1 species
UACGUAGGGUGCAAGCGUUGUCCGGAAUUAUUGGGCGUAAAGAGCUCGUUGGCGGUCUGUCGCGUCGGAUGUGAAAAUCCAGGGCUUAACCCUGGGCCUGCAUUCGAUACGGGCAGACUAGAGUUCGGUAGGGGAGACUGGAAUUCCUGGUGUAGCGGUGAAAUGCGCAGAUAUCAGGAGGAACACCGGUGGCGAAGGCGGGUCUCUAGGCCGACACUGACGCUGAGGAGCGAAAGCGUGGGGAGCGAACAGG